CCUACGGGCGGCUGCAGUGGGGGAUAUUGCACAAUGGGGGGAACCCUGAUGCAGCGACGCCGCGUGGGUGAAGAAGCGCCUCGGCGCGUAAAGCCCUGUCAGCAGGGAAGAAAAUGACGGUACCUGAAGAAGAAGCCCCGGCUAACUACGUGCCAGCAGCCGCGGUAAUACGUAGGGGGCAAGCGUUAUCCGGAGUUACUGGGUGGAAAGGGGGCGCAGACGGCGAUGCAAGCCAGGAGUGAAAGCCCGGGGCCCAACCCCGGGACUGCUCUUGGAACUGCGUGGCUGGAGUGCAGGAGGGGCAGGCGGAAUUCCUGGUGUAGCGGUGAAAUGCGUAGAUAUCAGGAGGAACACCGGUGGCGAAGGCAGCCUGCUGGACUGCAACUGACGUUGAGGCCCGAAAGCGUGGGGAGCAAACAGGAUUAGAUACCCCUGUAGUC
rnacentral:rRNA from 1 species